GACGGAGGAUGCAAGUGUUAUCCGGAAUCACUGGGCGUAAAGCGUCUGUAGGUGGUUUGAUAAGUCGGCUGUUAAAUCUUGAGGCCUAACUUCAAAACUGCAGUCGAAACUAUUAAACUAGAGUAUAGUAGGGGUAAAGGGAAUUUCCAGUGGAGCGGUGAAAUGCGUAGAUAUUGGAAAGAACACCGAUGGCGAAGGCACUUUACUGGGCUAUUACUGACACUCAGAGACGAAAGCUAGGGUAGCAAAUGGGAUUAGAUACCCCAGUAGUCCUAGCUGUAAACAAUGGAUACUAGAUGUUGAACAGAUCGACCUGUGCAGUAUUAAAGCUAACGCGUUAAGUAUCCCGC
rnacentral:rRNA from 1 species